UACAGAGGCCUCGAGCGUUAGGCGGAAUCACUGGGCUUAAGGCGUGUGUAGGCGGACUUCUAAGUACCUUGUGAAAUCCCACGGCUCACCCGUGGAACUGCUUGGUAUACUGGUUGUCUUGAGCCUUCUAGGGGCGAGUGGAACAAAUGGUGGAGCGGUGAAAUGCGUAGAUAUCAUUUGGAACGCCAAUGGUGAAAACAACUCGCUGGGGAAGUGCUGACGCUGAGACACGAAAGCCAGGGGAGCGAACGGG
rnacentral:rRNA from 1 species